rnacentral:misc_RNA from 1 species
UUGAUGUUGAGUUGCUUGAGGUCCGUCCAUCCAAGUAUUGUAAAUUCCGAGAGAAAUCAUUUAUAUAAAAUAAAGAAACUAUGUACUAGUUAUUAGGCCGCAUAUAAUGUGUAAAUUCAACUAAAUGUUAUUAGAAACAUUAUAUUUGAUCACUAUAAGAUAUUUAUGAAUUGUGUUAUGAGUGAAUUUAUUGUGUGAAUUUUGUAAAGUUAAUUAGUUUAUAAUUUAUUAUAUUGACCCAUCGUUGAAAGAAUA